rnacentral:tRNA from 1 species
CGCGGAGUAGAGCAGUUCGGUAGCUCGUCGGGCUCAUAACCCGGAGGUCGGAGGUUCAAAUCCUCCCUCCGCAACCA